rnacentral:snRNA from 1 species
UCAUCUUUCUCGGCCUUUUGGCUAAGAUCAAGUACAGUAUAUGUUCUUAUUAGUUUAAUAUCUGAUAUGUGGAAUAUUUAUAUUAAAAGCACGAAGGCCUUUAGCGAAAUGUCGUUCGUCUUUUUUACCCUCU